CGGGUAUAGCUCAAUUGGAUAGAGCAUCGGUCUACGAAACCGAAGGUUCCAGGUUCGAAUCCUGGUACCC
rnacentral:tRNA from 1 species